AACGAACGCUGGCGGCGCGCCUAACACAUGCAAGUCGAGCGGUAGGGACCUUCGGGUCCUGAGAGCGGCGGACGGGUGAGUAAUACAUAGGAAUCUGCCUGGUAGUGGGGGAUAGCCCGGGGAAACCCGGAUUAAUACCGCAUACGCCCUACGGGGGAAAGGAGGGAUCUUCGGACCUUUCGCUAUCAGAUGAGCCUAUGUCGGAUUAGCUAGUUGGUGAGGUAAAGGCUCACCAAGGCGACGAUCCGUAACUGGUCUGAGAGGAUGAUCAGUCACACUGGAACUGAGACACGGUCCAGACUCCUACGGGAGGCAGCAGUUGGGGAAUCUUGCGCAAUGGGCGAAAGCCUGACGCAGCGACGCCGCGUGGGUGACGAAGGCC
rnacentral:rRNA from 1 species